rnacentral:rRNA from 1 species
GGUACCGCCUGCCCAGUGACUAUUUAAACGGCCGCGGUAUCCUAACCGUGCAAAGGUAGCAUAAUCACUUGUCCUCUAAAUCAGGACUGGAAUGAACGGCUAAAUGAGGACUAAACUGUCUCUUGUGGUCCACCAAUGAAAUUGAUCUCCCAGUACAAAAGCUGGGAUAAACCCAUAAGACGAGAAGACCCUGUGGAGCUUUUAAAACUAAGCCCAUACAACAUGUCCUCUUGAGUUUUUAGUUGGGGCGACUUUGGAGUACAAAAAAACCUCCAUAAAUGAUUAACUUAUCCUAUUAAGAUCAACACACCAAAACAACCAUAUAAGACCCAGCAACUUACCUCUGUUGUCUGACUAAUGAACCAAGUUACCCCAGGGAUAACAGCGCUAUUCCCUUCUAGAGUCCCUAUCGACAAGGGAGUUUACGACCUCGAUGUUGGAUCAGGACACCCCAAUGGUGCAGCCGCCAUAAAAGGUUCGUUUGUUCAACGAUUAAAGUCCUA